rnacentral:misc_RNA from 1 species
UCUCCGUUGGUGAACCAGCGGAGGGAUCAUUACUGAGUUACCGCUCUACAACCCUUUGUGAACAUACCUAACUGUUGCUUCGGCGGGCAGAGGUCCCUUGCGGAUCUCUCCCGGCAAAGCCCUCACGGGCGGAGCGCCCGCCGGAGGAUACCAAACUCUAUUUUAACGACGCUUCUUCUAGGUGGCACAAGCAGAUAAUUAGAACUUUUAACAACGGAUCUCUUGGUUCUG